GCCCCUCACCUGGGCUCUGGCCUCCAAUGCUACCCGUCUCUGACUCACCAGUCCAGGCUUCAUCCAGCUGGUCCUUGGAGAAGAAGAGAAAAAGAGACACAGACACAGAGGGAGAAUGCCAUGUGAUGACGGAGGCAGGAUUGAAGUGAUGCAUCUGCAGCCAAGAACACCAAGGAUUGCCAGCCACCACCCAAAACCAGGAGGAGCAAGAAAGGAUUCUACCCAGAGCCUCAGAGGGAGCAAGGCCCUAUUGAUGCCUUGGUUUUGGACUUUUAGCCUUCAGAACUGUGAGACAAUAAAUUUCUAAUGUUUUAAGCCA